rnacentral:tRNA from 1 species
CGGCAGGGUAGGUCGGCACGGCCCGGCCGGUCGGUACAGCCAGGCCGGUCGCUACUGGCCCGGUCGGUCCGGUGUUGGCCCGGCCGC